CACACUUCAUUGUAAAAAUGUUUACACCUCUAUUCGAUCAUCUUACUGUUGAUGAGUUUUGACAUUUCAAUUUACGGUGCACGUUGAAAUCAAUUUAGCAAACAUUUUCGAAUCAGUAACCAAAUCAUGUUGGUAGUUGGACCUCAAAUCUUUACAGUUUAAAUUUACCCAAGGGGCAAAUCACUCUAAACUCUAGACAAUCUCAUACUAAUAAACUCAUUUCAUUCCAAAAUAAUCUUCUCUAAUCUCAAUUAAUCCCAACUAGUCUAGAUAAGUUUGGGUAAUUUUAAACUAAUCCAACCUAGUUUUGCCUAAUCUUGUUUGAAGUGUAUCUGUCAUUCGAGCUCGCAAAAUAAAGUGUAUGGCAAGUAAACAAAGAACGUUUUUAAGAUGCUUUCUCAGCUCUUGAAGAAAAAAAAACCCGAUUUCGAAAUAUCGACUGUGUUUUGAAUAAAAGGUAGCAAUUCCUGGAACAGUUCGUGAAGCCAUAUCAAGCGACUCCCACCGACAUCUGAUCCGGUAGAAUCAUUCUAAUAACGAUGCUGGAAUCAAUCGUCAUCGCGGAAGGAGAAUAAAUAUACAACGGCAACAACUUGGAACAAAUUGGACAUCGUGGUAUAAUUUUCUAUCACUGCUGAUGCAAUUCAAUCAUCAAGCUCAGUGGGACAACGAGACGAGACGCAGUUGACGGUCUAGUGUUUCCCUGUAGUAGUGAUUUCAAUCAUGUUCAGAAAUAUUACGAAUACGACAACUGUCUCGGAUUUCAAUAAUACAAUCAGCCAGCAUUUCGUACCCGAAUAACCAAGCGGAUCAUAGCAGAUGUACCAAACACAAAAGUAAGUAGCUGGACAAGCUUCAUCUCUCACACAGAUGUACUCGAUAUUCCUACAGAAUUACCCGCCGAUUUGGUUAAGGAAACGGUGUCCCUGUUUAAAACAUGGAUGGUAACAAUGCAAUUCCACAGCCGAAGUUCUAUGAGGAUUGCAGUUCAACAGCAAUCAACAUAUUUAGAAGCAGCAACAUACAUAUGUUACAGUAAUAAUAAUAAUAAGAUUCCUGAGGUUUAGUAAAUGUACAAAUGAGGUUUAGUAAAUAUACAUAGACCCGUUGAGGCAUUCUCGCUAGGUGUGGAGAGUUGUACAACUAAUCCUCCUACUAACGGUGUUCUAUUGUUACUGUGUUGGAUACAAUAAAUUUUUUAUUUAGAUUGUGUAUUACUACAUCGGAAAUGCAAAGACCAUUUAUAAUGAAAUCGAUAUAAUCAUUCCCAAUGGGUCAAAAGAACCAAAGGUAGAUUUCUUGUGUUUAUUUUCUCUUCUGGUAAUAACAUCAAUUUUCUACGUUUACAAAUUUUAUUGGAAAUUUAGCGCAAUUAUAAUUAUGAUGUAAGGUAAACUAACUUAUUCUGUCUAUUGGGAGUUCGUGUAAUGAAAUACAAUAACUUUUACUUAA